rnacentral:rRNA from 1 species
CUAACUCCGUGCCAGCAGCCGCGGUAAUACGAGGGUGCGAGCGUUAAUCGGAAUUACUGGGCGUAAAGCGCAUGCAGGCGGCCUCGUUAAGUCAGAUGUGAAAGACCCGGGGCGUUAACCUCGGAAUUGCAUUUGAAACUGGCAGGCUAGAGUCUUGUAGAGGGGGGGUAGAAGUUUCAGGUGUAGCGGUGAAAUGCGUAGAGAUCUGAAGGAAUACCAGUGGCGAAGGCGGCCCCCUGGACCAAAGAACUGACGCUCAGAUGCGAAAGCGUGGGGAGCAAACAGGAUUAGAUACCCUGGUAGCGUCGUCUAUCAGUCGACUCCUACGGGAGGCAGCAGUGCAUGACGGGGUUGGGCCGGAAAGGAAAACUCAAGCAGGCGCUGUGCAUGGCGAGGAGGGAAGGCUCGGCCGCAGGAGAGGCGCGCGAGCCUGGCGUCUGUGGCGGAGAUUAGAUACCCUGGUAG